GAUGAACGCUGGCGGCAGGCCUAAUACAUGCAAGUCGAGCGAACGGACCAGAAGCAUGCUUCUCUGAUGGUGGCGGCGGACGGGUGAGUAACACGUGGACAACCUACCUAUAAGACUGGGAUAACUACAGGAAACCGGAGCUAAUACCGGAUGAUAUUUUGAACCGCAUGGUGCAAAAGUGAAAGACGGUCUUUCUGUCACUUAUAGAUGGAUCCGCGCUGCAUUAGCUAGUUGGUAAGGUGACGGCUUACCAAGGCAACGAUGCAUAGCCGACCUGAGAGGGGGGUCGGGUACACUGGAUCUGAGACACGGCCCCGACCCCGACGGGAGGCAGCAGUAGGGAAUCUUCCGCAAGGCGGGAGAGCCUGACGUAGCACAGCCGCGUGAGGGAUGAAGGGCCUCGGAUCGGAGAACUAUGUUAUUAGGGAAAAAGAUAAGUGUAAGUAACUGUGCACAUCUUGACGGUACCUAAUCAGAAAGCCACGGCUAACUACGUG
rnacentral:rRNA from 1 species